rnacentral:lncRNA from 1 species
GACAAUUUUCCUUUUAUUUUACUAAAAACACAGCAAAAAAUAAAAUAAACAGUCCAUACGGGCCCAGGAAGAGAGCCUAAACCCAAACAACAAAACCUAAGAAACAAAGAUCACGCGCAGGCGGCGGCGCAGCCAACCUCCCUCGCAGCAAUUCUCCUGCCGCCGCCGCCGGCCUUCCCAUGAAGCCACAACCACCGCACCACCUCAGCCAGACUGCCGCCCUCCCAAGCCUGGCAGCCACGUCGCUCCUCGAGGAGGCCACGACAGAAGCUGUACCAUUGCCCAGAUCGGACACAAAGAGCAGAAGCCGGAUCGAGGUGAUCUUCUUCGAUCUACUCUAAGCCAACCCGAUCUUCGUUUCUUUCUUGGGGGGUUUAUUGUUUUGCUGCUGUAGAAGGAUGGUCCGGUGAAAAUGAUACCAUUUUCGUCAUUUUACGAAAAGAUUGUCUGAACGGAAGUCACCCUCCUUGGCUCAUGAGUUACACCCACCCACAGAGACAUCUGCGUUCCAUGCAGGUCGGUAGGGUAAAAUUUUCUAAAGAGAAGACGAAGUUUAAACAUGAAUGAGAGGAUUUCACAGAACCCAUGCUGUAAAUAGUUUCAUACAAUAUAAUUACAACUUUCAUGAACCUAGCUUGUUUUCUCCACGGUAGAAGAACAAAGCCUAAAAGUAUUAAGAACAUAGUUUUCUUUCUCUCCUAAUUCGAGCAUUGAAGCCCCAUCAUGAUACUUAUUUUGUGGGAAGAACUAAUGCAAUUGAUUUGAUACAGAUUGGUUUUACAAUAAAAGAAAGAUCCAAGCACCAAAUAUUUCUCCUAGAAUAUGCUUGUAUUGAUGUCUUCAUUAAACAGGAGGAGCUCUGUAAUAUGCCGGCACUGUUGCAGGAAAGAACGUCUGUCUAAUUCCUUCACCAAUUAUAAUGGGAAAUAUGAUCCCUGAUGCAUACUGAAAGUUGGAACCAGAGAGAUUUGUAUAAGCAGUCGUUAUGUGUAAGGAUAUUGUAAUUGACAAACAUGUAGAAAAAGUAGUGGGUAUUCAGCUAACUUACCAAG